rnacentral:rRNA from 1 species
GAGUUUGAUCCUGGCUCAGGAUGAACGCUAGCGGCAGGCUUAAUACAUGCAAGUCGAGGGGCAGCAGCUUUAUAGCAAUAUAGAGGCUGGCGACCGGCAAACGGGUGCGGAACACGUACACAACCUUCCUUGAAUAGGGGGAUAGCCCAUAGAAAUGUGGAUUAAUACCCCGUAAUAUAGCGGUGUGGCAUCACACUGUUAUUAUAGUUUCGGCGAUUCGAGAUGGGUGUGCGGCUGAUUAGGUAGUUGGCGGGGUAAAGGCCCACCAAGCCUUCGAUCAGUAGCUGAUGUGAGGGCAUGAUCAGCCACACGGGCACUGAGACACGGGCCCGACUCCUACGGGAGGCAGCAGUAAGGAAUAUUGGUCAAUGGACGCAAGUCUGAACCAGCCAUGCCGCGUGAAGGAUGAAGGUCCUCUGGAUUGUAAACUUCUUUUAUAGGGGGCGAAAAAAGGUCUUUCUAGAUCACUUGACAGUACCCUAUGAAUAAGCACCGGCUAACUCCGUGCCAGCAGCCGCGGUAAUACGGAGGGUGCAAGCGUUAUCCGGAUUCACUGGGUUUAAAGGGUGCGUAGGCGGGUAGGUAAGUCAGAGGUGAAAUCCUGGAGCUUAACUCCAGAACUGCCUUUGAUACUAUCUAUCUUGAAUAUGGUGGAGGUAAGCGGAAUAUGUCAUGUAGCGGUGAAAUGCAUAGAUAUGACAUAGAACACCUAUUGCGAAGGCAGCUUACUACGCCUAUAUUGACGCUGAGGCACGAAAGCGUGGGGAUCAACAGGAUUAGAUACCCUGGUAGUCCACGCCCUAAACGAUGAUUACUCGACGUAUGCGAUACACAGUAUGCGUCUGAGCGAAAGCAUUAAGUAAUCCACCUGGAAGUACGACCGCAAGGUUGAAACUCAAGGAAUUGCCGGGGUCCGCACAAGCGGUGGAGCAUGUGUUUAUCGAUGAWWCGCGAGGACCUAACCUGGCUAGAUGCAGUCUGACCGKGGGKGAAAGCUCAUUCGUAGCAWACSMGAAUGAUAGGCCUGCAUGCUGUCGYAGCCYGUCCUUGAAGGGCUGGUAAAUCCGCAACUAGACCACCCUUUMGAUAUGKCACAGUA